ACGUAUUCUGAAAGGGAUACUUCUUCGGACAAUAUACAAGGUGCUGCAUGGUUGUCGUCAGCUCGUGCCGUGAGGUGUCCGGGUUAAAGUCCCAUAACGAGCGCAACCCUUGUCCUUAGUUACCAGCACGUUAUGGUGGGCACUCUAAGGAGACUGCCGGUGACAAACCGGAGGAAGGUGGGGAUGACGUCAAGUCAUCAUGGCCCUUACGGCCUGGGCUACACACGUGCUACAAUGGUCGGUACAAAGGGUUGCCAAGCCGCGAGGUGGAGCUAAUCCCAUAAAACCGAUCGUAGUCCGGAUCGCAGUCUGCAACUCGACUGCGUGAAGUCGGAAUCGCUAGUAAUCGUGAAUCAGAAUGUCACGGUGAAUACGUUCCCGGGCCUU
rnacentral:rRNA from 1 species